AAUGAACGCUGGCGGCAUGCCUAACACAUGCAAGUCGAACGAAGGCUUCGGCCUUAGUGGCGCACGGGUGCGUAACGCGUGGGAAUCUGCCCUUGGGUUCGGAAUAACAGUUAGAAAUGACUGCUAAUACCGGAUGAUGUCGUAAGACCAAAGAUUUAUCGCCCAAGGAUGAGCCCGCGUAGGAUUAGCUAGUUGGUGGGGUAAAGGCCUACCAAGGCGACGAGCCUUAGCUGGUCUGAGAGGAUGAUCAGCCACACUGGGACUGAGACACGGCCCAGACUCCUACGGGAGGCAGCAGUGGGGAAUAUUGGACAAUGGGCGAAAGCCUGAUCCAGCAAUGCCGCGUGAGUGAUGAAGGCCUUAGGGUUGUAAAGCUCUUUUACCCGGGAUGAUAAUGACAGUACCGGGAGAAUAAGCUCCGGCUAACUUCGUG
rnacentral:rRNA from 1 species